rnacentral:rRNA from 1 species
AACUCUUGACAAUGGAUAUCUCAGAUCUCUCAAUAUUAAAGAAUAUAGCAAAAUAUGAUACUUGGUUUGAAUAGCAGAAUCCCAUGAACUAUUUAGUUUUUGAACACAAGUUGCACCCAAAGACAUUAAGUUGAGGAAAUAUCUGGCUGGGCAUCA